CAGUCGCCACGGGAACACGAAGGGUGCAAGCGUUAAUCGGAAUUACUGGGCGUAAAGCGUGCGUAGGCGGUGAGUUAAGUCUGCUGUGAAAUCCCCGGGCUCAACCUGGGAAUGGCAGUGGAUACUGGCUCGCUAGAGUGUGUCAGAGGAUGGUGGAAUUCCCGGUGUAGCGGUGAAAUGCGUAGAGAUCGGGAGGAACAUCAGUGGCGAAGGCGGCCAUCUGGGACAACACUGACGCUGAGGCACGAAAGCGUGGGGAGCAAACAGGAUUAGAUACCCCCGUAGUCCCUGUCUCUUAUAA
rnacentral:rRNA from 1 species